rnacentral:rRNA from 1 species
CCUACGGGCGGCAGCAGUAGGGAAUAUUGCUCAAUGGGGGAAACCCUGAAGCAGCACCGCCGCGUGGAGGAUGAAGGUUUUCGGAUUGUUAAAUCCUUUUGUUAGAGAAGAUAAUGACGGUAUCUAACGAAUAAGCACCGGCUAACUCCGUGCCAGCAGCCGCGGCACAACGGAGGGUGCAAGCGUUACUCGGAAUCACUGGGCGUAAACAGCCCGUAGGCGGGAUAGCAAGUCAGAUGUGAAAUCCUAUGGCUUAACCAUAGCACUGCAUUUGAAACUGUUAUUCUAGAGUAUGGGAGAGGUAGGUGGAAUUCGUGGUGUAGGGGUAAAAUCCGUAGAGAUCAAGAGGAAUACUCAUUGCGAAGGCGACCUGCUAGAACAUAACUGACGCUGAUGCGCGAAAGCGUGGGGAGCAAACAGGAUUAGAUACCCCUGUAGUC